UAUAUACUCCCUCCGUUCCGAAUUAUUUGUCACAGAUACGGGUGUAUCUAGAUGUAUUUUAGGUCUAGAUACAUCCAUUUCUGCGAUGAGUAAUUGGGAACGGAGAGAGUACGUG
rfam:Triticum aestivum genome assembly, contig: Triticum_aestivum_CS42_TGACv1_scaffold_179303_2DS